GAAGUAGGUCAUGGGCCUCAACACGGUGGCCAUCCACUCCGACAAGACCCAGUGGGAACGCAACCGCAUCCUCAAGGUGAGGCCAAUGGCAGCCUUUGGUUCAUUAGGCACCAAACAGAAGAAAACUGACUGAAACAGGGAGUGAGUGCCUGCACUGGUCCAAUAAGAAACACACAUUUUCAUUUUCUUUUGCAAAACAUUUUAAAACAUUCUCUUUUGCGUGCCCUAAUGAACAAGACCCAAGGGAGGGGUAUUCAGUUGAAUGAUCAAAGGGUUUCCCUAGAUAUGUUUCCCUAGGUCAAUACCACACACACUAUGAUCUAGGAUCAGUUUAGCCUUUUACAGCAUAAUUAAUAAGAUUACAUGGAUAGUGGGGACCUGAUCCUAGAUCAGCGCUCCUACCAUAAGAUGCUUUAUGAAUACGGCCCAGGUCUGGCUACUAUGGCUCAAAAAGCGAAGCAAGUCAAAGCUAGUGUACUUCCAUAAAGAGUAUGAUACCUUUAAUAUGUUUUGUACUCUGUUCUCAGGGUCUACUUGAAGGGCACUUUGAAGUGAUGGUCCACUGGCGUACUGGGCAGGAUGCGGUUGCGUUCCCACUGGGUCUUGUCGGAGUGGAUGGCCACCGUGUUGAGGCCCAUGACCUACUUCCCGGAUCACAUAGCAGGUCUGCCCCCAGCUUACAGUCUAUAAUCACCAUCACCGGAGGCUGGUACAGUUUCCCAUCCUACAAGAUAAACACACAGGACAAGUAUGUUCAUCAGCUGAGCAGAGCAGGCAGACUGGGCCACUGGGGCACUGCCUUCACGUUGGUCAACAACAUCAACAAGUGUCUGUCCCUGAAGGUGGUAAACUGGGUGAAGCCCACAGGCUCCCAGCUGCCCCCCAGCUCCUCAUCUCCCCUCACCUCCACGAGCAGCAGAGGAAGGGAAAGCAGAAAGCCACGUAAAGUAGAGAGGAUGAUGUCGUUGGUCACCAAGACCAACAAAACACAACAGGAGAUUAAAAAGAUAGAAACAGUUUGACAGAUGCACUUGUUAUAGUUACUUUGUGUUUAUAUCUGGGUAAUUUUUUCAAAUAAAUUAAUAUGAAAACUUGAUUGAGUUGUCAUUUGGAUUUGACCCUCUUUUACAUUCAAUAUGGUAAUAUACACAAUAUACUGUAUAUAUACAAAGUAGGUGGACACCCCUUCAAAUUAGUGGAUUCGGCUUAUUUCAGCCACACCCGUUGAUGACAAGUGUAGAAAAUCGAGCACAUAGCCAAGCAUACACCAUAGACAAACAGUAGAAUGGCCUUACUGAAGAGCUCAGUGACUUCCAACAAGGCACCGUCUCAUAGGAUGCCACCUUUCCAACAAGUCAGUUCAUCAAAUUUCUGCCCUGCUAGAGCUGCCCCAGUCAACUGUAAGUGCUGUUUAUGUGAAGUGAAAACGUCUAGGAGUAACAACGGCUCAGCCGCGAAGUGGUAGGCCAAACAGAACGGGACAGCUGAGUGUUGAAGCAUUUAGCGAGUAAACAUUGUCUGUCCUAGGUUGCAACACUCACUACUGAGUUCCAAAUUGCCUCUGGAAGCAAUGUCAGCACAAGAACUGUUCAGCGGGAGCUUAAUGAAAUGGGUUUCCAUGGCCCGAGCAGCCGCACAAGCCUAAGAUCACCAUGCGCAAUGCCAAGCGUUGACUGGAGUGGUGUAAAGCUCGCCAGUGGUGUAAACCUCUCAUUCUCUGGAGUGAUGAAUCACGUUUCACCUUGGCGAAUGCCAGGGGAACGCUACCUGCCCCAAUGCAUAGUGCCAACUGUAAAGUUUGGUGGAGGAUUAAUAGUGGUCUGGGGCUGUUUUUCAUGGUUCAGGCUCCUUAGUUCCAGUGAAGGGAAAUGUUAACGCAACAUCAUACAAUAAAAUUCUAUACAAUUCUGUGCUUCCAACUUUGUGGCAACAGUUUGGAGAAGGCCCUUUCCUGUUUCAGCAUAACAAUGCCCCUGUGCACAAAAGGAGGUCCAUACAGAAAUGGUUUGUCGAGAUCAGUGUGGAAAAACUUGACUGGCCUGCACAGAGCCCUGACCUCAACACCCCAUUGAACACAUUUGGGAUGAAUUGGAAUGCUGACUGAGAGCCAGGCCUAAUCGCCCAACAUCAGUGCCCGACCUUCCGAAUGCUCUUGUGGCUGAAUGGACGCAAGUCCUUGCAGCAAUGUUACAACUUUUAGUGAAGAGUGGUGGGGACCAGCUCCAUAUUAAUGCACAUGAUUUUAGAAUGAGAUGUUCGACAAGCAGGUGUCCACAUACUUUCGAUCGUGUAGUGUAGUUGUGCAUUUUGUUGAGACGAUGGAUCUAGUCUCAAGCGUGGAAAUACUGCUAUCUACCUUUCAAACACAGGCUCUGCAUGUAUUUUGUUCUGCUGUGGACGGUGACGUAAUUUGUGUCUAGCCAAUAGCACACCACUGAUAGGAGUUUGAAAUCGACGCGGGGCAGAUGUCAACCACUACAGUGAAAUGGUAAACAAACUCAGAAGAAAUAGUUAAAUUAUUCUGUUUUGAGAAGUAGCUGGCAAAUAUAACUGUGAAUGUCCGAAUUAUAUUAACCUUUACUUAUUAAACUGAUCAGAUUAUCAUUUUCAGCUUUGCAAUGUGUUAUGGACAGUUAGCUAACGUUAGCUGGCUAAUUUAGCUAGCUAAGCUAACGUCGUACACCAACUAAACGACCAAAUAAAACCGCAUGCAUUGUUGUCUAGUCAGCUCAUGUCCGAAUGAUCAAUUUCUUAAUACAACUAACGU
rnacentral:lncRNA from 13 species